CAGUGCCUCGGCAGUGCAGCCC
rnacentral:miRNA from 2 species